GGACAGCUCUCUCGCUCGCGCUCUCGCUCUCGCUCGCGCUCGCUUCAUUCACCUCCCGGACUUUUCUUUUCUUUCGCCUUUUUUGUUUUCCUCUCGUUUCACCCACAUCUCUAUCUCUCUCUUGAGUGUCUGUCCUUCGCGCGUGCCACUCACUACUCGGGAUAUAUAGCGUGCUCAACUCAAGGUUCUUCACUUGGGAACUUUCUCAAGCUGACAGCUUGACACAGCCCUGCUACAGCUAUUGUAAAGGUAGGAACCCUGUUAUUGUACCUACAGCAUAUGCUCAUAUGGUCAUAAAGUCGUGUACUGAUGUGCCAAGAAGUCAUGGGACAGUGUAGACAUGGGAACUAGUUUGUGCAUGGACAGUUGAAGCCAGAAGUCUUCAGUCACCAUCAUUACCAAGCAUAACCACUAGACUGUCCAAUGUGGGUAGAAAGAAGACUAGAAAUCUUCUAUAAGGUAUUCCCUAUACACAUAAAACACUGUGUAUCAAGGAAUAUUAUUAAAUAUUAUCAAAAUGAGUCGAAUACAAGUAAAGGGAAGGUCCCAUGCCUUAAUAAUCUCCAGAUAACACUCAAGAUAACACCACAGACAUCACAUUAUGCAUUUUACAGGUUCAAGCCAUCCACUGAGAUUCUUACCUACUUGACAGGUACUGU
rnacentral:lncRNA from 1 species